GAGGGUCCAACCUUCUGUGCCGCAGUUAACACAUUAAGUAUUCCGCCUGGGGAGUACGGUCGCAAGACUAAAACUCAAAGGAAUUGACGGGGGCCCGCACAAGCAGCGGAGCAUGUGGUUUAAUUCGAAGCAACGCGAAGAACCUUACCUGGACUUGACAUCCCCUGAAUUACUCGUAACUGAGGAAAUCUCUUCGGAGACAGGGAGACAGGUGGUGCAUGGUUGUCGUCAGCUCGUGUCGUGAGAUGUUGGGUUAAGUCCCGCAACGAGCGCAACCCUUAUUAUUAGUUGCUACCAUUAAGUUGAGCACUCUAAUGAGACUGCCCGGGUGAACCGGGAGGAAGGUGGGGAUGACGUCAAAUCAUCAUGCCCCUUAUGUCCAGGGCUACACACGUGCUACAAUGGUGGGUACAGAGAGAAGCAAUACCGCGAGGUGGAGCAAAUCUCAAAAACCCAUCCCAGUUCGGAUUGCAGGCUGAAACUCGCCUGCAUGAAGCCGGAGUUGCUAGUAAUCGCAAAUCAGAAUGUUGCGGUGAAUACGUUCCCGGGCCUUGUACACACCGCCCGUCACACCAUGAGAGUUGGCAACACCCGAAGUCCGUGAGGUAACCGUAAGGAGCCAGCGGCCGAAGGUGGGGUUAAUGAUUGGGGUGAAGUCGUAACAAGGUAGAGCUCUCAGUCAGUCAA
rnacentral:rRNA from 1 species